rnacentral:rRNA from 1 species
AUUGAACGCUGGCGGCAGGCUUAACACAUGCAAGUCGAACGGAACCUUCGGGUUUAGUGGCGAACGGGUGAGUAACACCUAGGAAUCUGCCUAUUAGUGGGGGAUAACGGCUCGAAAGGGUCGCUAAUACCGCAUACGUCCUACGGGUGAAAGAGGGGGAUCUUCGGACCUCUUGCUAAUAGAUGAGCCUAGGCCGGAUUAGCUAGUUGGUAGGGUAAAGGCCUACCAAGGCGACGAUCCGUAGCUGGUCUGAGAGGAUGAUCAGCCACACUGGAACUGAGACACGGUCCAGACUCCUACGGGAGGCAGCAGUGGGGGAAUAUUGGACAAUGGGGGCAACCCUGAUCCAGCCAUGCCGCGUGUGUGAAGAAGGCCUUCGGGUUGUUAAAGGCACUUUAAGCGAGGAGGAAGGUACUUUGAACUAAUAUUUCAAAGAAUUGACGUUACUCG